rnacentral:rRNA from 1 species
UACGUAGGGUGCGAGCGUUGUCCGGAAUUACUGGGCGUAAAGAGCUCGUAGGUGGUUUGUCGCGUUGUUCGUGAAAACUCACAACUCAAUUGUGGGCGUGCGGGCGAUACGGGCAGACUGGAGUACUGCAGGGGAGACUGGAAUUCCUGGUGUAGCGGUGGAAUGCGCAGAUAUCAGGAAGAACACCCGUGGCUAAGGCGGCUCUCUAGUACGGUACUGACGCUGAGGCGCGAAAGCGUGGGGAGCAAACAGG